rnacentral:lncRNA from 10 species
CCGCCUCCCGGGUUCACGCCAUCUUGCCACUAAACCUGAUUUACCAACAUAACCUGUUUCUGGCCAUGCUGUGAAUCUGCAUUCUUUACUGUGUCCUUGGGAUACUAGGAGGAACCAGAGGAGCAGAUCCUGCUAGGAGGCUAAGCAUGAAGAAGGAAUUCAAAGAAACCUUGUGGAGAACGAAGACACAGCAGGGAGUCUCUGAUCAAGUGCCACAUCUUUAGAGAAGCUUUUCCAAACAACCGAUUAUGAAGUACACAUUAACAAUGAAGCCUCUUUUCAAGUAAAGAAGUGAGUAACUCUGGUAACCACCAAUCUACACUCUAUUUUCAUGAGAUCCAGUUUUAUAGCUCCCACAUGUAACUUUUCAGACAUGAAUUGGAAUAAGAUAAGGCCAACUUGCUCAACUACAUUCCUUACUAAAACAUAAUAACUAAAAGCUACAGUGUGCAUUUCAUGUUUCACAUGUUCUGUUGCAGUGCCAAGACUAGGUUUAAGCAAUUCAGCUGCACAGUUACCAACCACUUCUUCUUGGAAGAUUUACCUACAAUCUAACUGAUAUACUUAACAAAAUUAUAUUUUUAAUAUUGAUUGUACAAUUUUUUACUCCUUAAUUGUAUCUGACAGCUUCUUAUACUUUAAACUUGAUCAACAGUAAAUUGUGAAGAGAGUAACUAUACACCACAUGGCUUGACAAUAUCCAAACAUCAUUCUUGUUCUACAAAAGUUACAAAUGGU